UACGUAGGGUGCAAGCGUUAAUCGGAAUUACUGGGCGUAGAGCGUGCGCAGGCGGUUUUGUAAGUCUGUCGUGAAAUCCCCGGGCUCAACCUGGGAAUUGCGAUGGAGACUGCAAGGCUAGAAUCUGGCAGAGGGGGGUAGAAUUCCACGUGUAGCAGUGAAAUGCGUAGAGAUGUGGAGGAACACCGAUGGCGAAGGCAGCCCCCUGGGUCAAGAUUGACGCUCAUGCA
rnacentral:rRNA from 1 species